GCCAUCACCUGCACUGCUUGUCUCUCUCGCCUGUGGCGUGCGUGUCGGUUUACACUCUGUUCGACUCCGCUCGCACUCCCCCGUGAGGAUGAUGAUGAGGAUGAUGCCGGCCACCUCACCGCGGUAUCAGGGCCUCACUACACCCUCACUCUUUGUGGGGAUGCCAAGCAGCCGUCCUGCGGCCUGCCCUCGCGUGUUGGCUGCCGACUCUUGAUGCCGGCGGACAGGUGUGGGUUGGCGCCGUGCCAAAGAGACUUGCGGCCACGACGCCACUUUUACCGGCCGACUGCGCAUCCUGUCGACAAUUCGCGAAAGCUUGAUACACCCUCUCCCGCCCAAAGGCCCGCGGAUUCAGGAGAGGGCGGAAUGCCCCUGCCCGCCACACAGACUCACAGCAGCGUCCCGCCUGUCGCGGCACAUGCGAGCAAGCCAUCCAGACACACGCCCCCAGGCAACAACGCCGUCCUGAAGCCGGCCCCGGGAUCCGAAAAUGCGGGCACGGCACACGCGCUGCCAGCUACCGCUGGCAUGGUGCAUCCCAGCAGGACAUGCAGGGGUCGGAGGGGCGCGAGUGAUGGACGAGCGGGGCGUGAAGCGAUCCAUACGAAUCAGCCCCAGCGCGCAUGGGUGUGGCACACGCGGCAUCUCCUACAUCCCGACCGGGUGGGCCGAUGAGGCGCAGACGCCGGAAGCGUAACGGGGACACCCCGAGUCGCACCAUCGAGUCCUGCCGACGCCGGUGUGAAGAGUCACCGCACCGCAUUGUGGAAUGCCGCUGCCUGAGGCGACUGAGAGGGCGGAGCAUGGCACAUAGGCAAUGGGGGUGCAGGGUCUCAGCGGGGGCUCUGACCUGCGGCUGGCGAGCCUCCUUCUCGAGCUCGGGCGGCAUGCGCCUGCACCAUCCCCUGCUGUCGCCGCGCGCCGGACGCCACCGCUUCCGCCCUCGAGUGCAGGACCCUGAACGCGGCCCGCCGUGGAUGAAGGCCUGCAGUACACCCAGGCCCGUGCGGUGCCGGUCGAGCGGGGUGUAUGCGGCAGGAGUGGACGAGGAAGGAGAGGGAGAGCUCGAUAGAGACGCGUGGCCCGACUCGACGGCAGGACGGCUCGUGCCGGUCGACCAGGACUCCGCCGUGGGGCGGCAGAGGUCGGUGAACUGUGGUUGUGCAUUGCGUCUAUCGGCGGACUCGCCGGCGGCCAAGCAACUCUCAAAGGAAAGAAGCAGAUGAAGAAGUCGUGCAUGUCGGCCACAGUGCCCGUCUUCUGCCCACCCCCGACUCACCCACCACCUACCCACUCACUCACGUGGCGUUUGUGUGUGCGUUAAAUAGUCGACAGUCGCAGCUCCUCCUCGACAUCUGUCUUGCAUGUUUGUUCGCUCCGCCGCCGCCCCCCUUUACCCCCUUUCUUCUUUACUGGUCUCGCUAUGUUGUUGCACGCGCAUGUUGUUGUUUUCGUCACUGGGUGAGCGCGUCUCUCCCCUUCCGUCUCUGCGGGUGUUGUUCUGGUGCCUAUCGGUGCAGCUGGACACUCCGCCGUCUGGCCGAUAUAUAUAUAUAUAUAUAUAUAUCUGCAGAAGUCCUCUGAGGCUCUCGGAAAAGGGCGGACAAACGGUGAGGCGGAGCGUGACCACAGGGAAAAGAGGACUGAGACGGCGAAGGCCCACUCCGCUGCACCUCCUACCCAACUGUCAAGAAUCUACUGCUUGAACCUCUUCUAUUUUUUCGACGCUUCCGACCACUUUCUUUACUCCCACACAUCCUUCUUGAAAAUGAGCUGUACGCGAGUACUGAGAGCAUCGAUCGGCGUGCCUGUGUGUGUCUGCCUGUUUGUGCUUGAAUCGGACCCUGCAUAUAUGACUCGGCGUCAGAGGGGCUCUCUUUCUGUAUUGCAUUGCCCGCCUCUCUUGGUUGCCGUGCCAACCACUUUGGGGCUGUGCUCUCUUUUUUGCGUGUGUGCGUGUGCCUCUCUUGCCUUUUUUUCUUGCGUUCACCUUGCUGAUGCUGGAGCUGCUGCGGCGGUGCACGCGCGCCAGGGGCGUGAGGAAGCAGAGAGAGAGGAGGGAAGGACUCGCAAGAGAAAAAAAAAGAAGCGAACUCGAUACACAAGCAAAGGAGAUAGCGACGAAAAUGCAAAGAGCUGCUUCUCUGCCCCUCCUCCUCCGCCUCCUCGACUUCCUCUGCCUCGACGGCCACCAUCACGACGACUGCGACCCCUCUCAUAGAAAGCAAGCGGGGAAAAACCAGCAGUAACGACAGCGUGAAACUGUAACCACCCCGACAGCCUCGCUCGCUCUCUUUUUCCUUUUUUUUCUUUUUUUUUUCUCCUCCCUCCUCCAAACAAACAUAAACGCUCACCAAUUUCUUACGCAUGUUUCCUCUACUCUCUCUAUCUCCCUACAUGUCUGUGCAAUGCUGAGGCAGCUAUCCAUCACUGCCUCUGUCUGUCGCUGCAUAUAUGUCGUGUGCGCAUAUUCAUGUGUAUCUUCUCAUCUGCCCCUUCUUUUUGUUCUCUCACACACCUUGUCUGCCGUGUCUGCUCUGUUCAUGUACGGUAGCGUGUGUGUGUGCGUGUGUGCAUGCGUGUGACUCGCUCUCUUUACGCCUCUGCAUCCCAUCACUUGCUGCUUGAUUGCCGUUUUCGAUGAGCGGAGGUGCUUUCGUACCCGCCGUCAUCCCUCUUCCUCUCUCUCCCCCUUCCCCCUUUCCACCUUCUUCAUCCCCUUAGCCCAUCAGAGCCGCCACCCCACCCUUUUCUCUUUCUGCGCCGUCGCCCCUCUUCCGUCGUUGGAUGUCGUUAUAUCCCGCCUCCUCGUCCGUUUGCUAGCGUUUCGCCCCGCCCCAUUUUUAUGCGCCUUAUUCUCCAUCUGCGAGAGACCGUCGUCUUCCCUGCUUUUCCUUUGUACACACACACAUAUACACAUGUAUGUAUGUGUGUGCAUAUGUGUGCGCGCGUGUGUUCGAGCGAGACGUCGUUUGUGCGUUGGAGUGGAUGUCUGUGCAUGUUCUAUCCUUCCCUUUCGCCGACCAUCUCCCCUCUAAUUUAUCGUCGCUCGCGCGCGGUUGUGUGAACGCUCAGGACAGCUAUGCUGCUUCUCCCGCUGCCGCGUUGAGACACCACUGCGGCGUAGUUCCUUUCAGAAAAAGGAGAGGGUGGGGAGGACGAUGGGCGAGCGUAGCAAGACUCGCUGAGCCAUCCACACAAGCUCCCCGCCUCCUCCUCCUCUUUCUCACACGCUCAGCUUGUCACUUUUUCCCCAUUCUGGGGAUCUUUUCGUUUGUGUUUAAAUAUGAUUUGGCCUUCUUUUUCCUCUCCAUCGAUCGCCGACUGUGCCACAAUGCGGAUACGCAGCUGCAGUUUCCAGCCUCGCUGGACCGUUUUCCACUGCCCCAUUUCUCUCCGCUGCCCCUCUUUCAAACCCGCCCACCUCCCUCAACACGUAUACGAACGUGGCAAACAUCAGCGCACACCGACACUACCCAUGCAUACAUUCGUUUCUUCCCGGAGAGACAGAUGGAAAGGGGCACACGCACACACACGCACGCAAAGAGAAAAGCAAGACUGAGGUGGAGGGGGAGGCACAAGCGGCGACAUGCAUGCCCUCUUUGCUGCUGCGUCACUCUUUCUCUCGCGUCGCUUCUUUUUUGCGUUCCCUCGUGUGUGUGUGUGUGUGCGUGCCGGCUCUGUGGGGGUGCUCAACAACGUUAAGGCGAGGCUCUGCCAUCUGUGUUGCCCCUGGCAUGAUGCGACUCGCUUCAGAUUUCCCUGUUCACUUUCUUUCUUGCUCAUCACCGCGCUAAAACCGUCCGUGCGUGCGUGCCACCUUUUCGCUUCUUAUUUUCACGUGCGCUCUUCCUCCUCUACCUCCUCUCCGCGUGCGCGUGAUUUUCUUUUUUUUUUUACCUAAGGAGGUGCUGAUGCGCGUGUGCACGUAUGUGUGUGUGCGCGCCUUGUGGUCACACGCCCUCCCCUCCCCUCUCCCCACACUUCGCUCUCGCCUUGAACCUUUCCAUUUCUCUUGUUCGGCACAGUUGUCUUGCCGAUGCUAGAGGCCUUCGUCCUUCUUUUGUUCUUUCCUUCCUUCGUUUGCAUGUGUGCGCGCGCGCGUCUUGUCUGCCUGUAUGCCAUCCAGCUCCCUCUCCGUCUUUCUUCUCCAUGCUGGAUCCUGCCGGCUUACUCGCUCGCUGACCGACUCGCCUCCGUUUGUGUGCUUUCCUUUUACUCUCACCACCGUCUUCCUGAGUUUUUUUCCGGCUGUCCUUUUGCGUUUUGUUUUUCGUUUCCUUCCUCUUUCACGUGUCUCGGUGUCCCGCACACACCCCCUCUUUGUCUCUGUGUUUGUGUGUGUGUAUGCGUGCGUGAACUUUUUUCUUGUUUCUUCGUGUGUUUCACCGUGGCUCAUCGUGUCUCCUAUUUCCCCCUCUCUCCUUUUUCUAACAUUAGCUUUAGUAUACAGAGCGGCGAUCUAUAGUCCCCCCCCUCCCUCCCUCUCCUGGUCUGCGUCUCUCUCUCUCUCCCUUCCUUGUGCAGCCUUCUUUGCGUGUGUGUGCGUGUGUCUAACCCCUUGUCCUCUUUCUUCCUCCUCCUCUCUCCGAUUGUGUUUUUGUGCUCUUCUUUGCCUUUUGGACGUGGAUGCUCAAUGAGGCGCAUUAUUGUUUAUCCCUGCAUGUAUGUGUGCGUGUCUCUCUCUUUCUGUUUUUUUUUUUUGCCUGUGAGCGGGGAACUCUCUUCGAUUGAUCGUCUCCCUGUUGACAUCCACUGAUUCCUUUUUCUGUUUGGUUCGUUCCCCUCCCCUCCCCGUCUCCCUCUGCCAUCCACGACUGUGCUUCUUCAGCUGUUCUUCCCCCCUUCAUCUCUUUUUUUCUCGUUGCUCUACUCUGCCUCUCGCCGCCGUCACUCACUCAUCGACGAGGCCCCUCUCUUCCCCACCUCCUUCCCUUCCUUCCUUCUUUCCCACCUCUUUGCUCUUUUUCUUCAAGUGUUUGACACCCUUGAUGAACACCUUCAGAAUGCGUGUGUAUGUGUGUCUGCGCGUGCGUGUGUAUGUGCAUGAGUAUAUAUAUGUGUGUGUAUGUGUAUGCCCCCUCCCCCUGCGUGUGCGUGUGCGAGCCUUCUUGCUGUGUGUCAUUCUAACAUGUUUCUUUUUUUCUUGUGCGUGUUAGUAUGCGUGCUGACGUCGUAAAGUUCUCAACGACAAGGAAGGAAAAGGACGGCCAGGCCCUCUUUCUGCAUCCAUGAGAGAGAGGGAGGGCCCUGCCGUAGAGCAGUCGAGGACCCGGUCGUCGCAUGUGCUGUCUUGCUCACAUCGACUUUUCCUCUUCAUUUCGAUUAUCGCCCCUUCUGCACGAAGUGGACGAUGUGGUGAAUGGGAGUGAGGGCGAGUGCGCUGUCAGGUGCGUGGGCGCCGCUUGUCAUGUGAGUGACGCUCUCGCGCUUUAUGAAGGCAAGCGCGCCCACACAGCGAAGGGGCUUCGAUCUGUCCUCUCGCCUACUGCUGCGAGCCGCGCGCUCUCAUCCGCCGUUUUACCUUGCUUGUGUGUGGCGCGCUUGUUGCCUUUCACCCCCUUCUCUCGUCUUUGUGUACGCACUUUGCCCCUCUCUGCUGUUUCGGCUGUCUCUCUCCGUGGCGCCGUCCCGCUUGGACGAACACUCUUACCCGUCGCCCCUCCUUCUCUCGGCACACGUUCUGCCUCUGCUACCCCACGCGCGCACGCUCUUCCAG
rnacentral:misc_RNA from 1 species